rnacentral:rRNA from 1 species
AGUGAACGCUGGCGGUAGGCCUAACACAUGCAAGUCGAACGGCAGCACAGUAAGAGCUUGCUCUUACGGGUGGCGAGUGGCGGACGGGUGAGGAAUACAUCGGAAUCUACUUUUUCGUGGGGGAUAACGUAGGGAAACUUACGCUAAUACCGCAUACGACCUACGGGUGAAAGCAGGGGAUCUUCGGACCUUGCGCGAUUGAAUGAGCCGAUGUCGGAUUAGCUAGUUGGCGGGGUAAAGGCCCACCAAGGCGACGAUCCGUAGCUGGUCUGAGAGGAUGAUCAGCCACACGGGAACUGAGACACGGUCCAGACUCCUACGGGAGGCAGCAGUGGGGAAUAUUGGACAAUGGGCGCAAGCCUGAUCCAGCCAGACCGCGGGGGUGAAGAAGGCCUUCGGGUGGUAAAGCCCUUUUGUUGGGAAAGAAAAGCAGCAGGUUAAUACCCCGCUGUUCUGACGGUACCCAAAGAAUAAACACCGGCUAACUUCGU